UUUUUUGAAACAAGUGCGCAUGCGCAUUAACGUCAGCGUCACUAACGAUAUGGAUUCAGAGGGGUGCUCAGCAGACGUAAACAAUGCCCCUCCAGAGAUUCCCUACCAGCAGCUUGGACAAAAUAUGCAUGAUUCAGAGGCUAGCAGACUGAACACAGAUCCUGACAAUAAUGAAAGACCAUUUAGUAACACUCCGGAUUCAAGCGUGCAGCCACUCAUAGACCGAUCUGAGACUUUACAACUGGAGUUUCAGGAUAGCCAGUUGUCACCUGCACUUACCUUGCAUCCCUGCCUGGACAAAUCUCACCUUAUUUCUGACUCCACAUUUUUUCAGCAUACAGAUGUAGAAUUUGUCCCUCUUCGGUACUGUUUGUUUCGUCGUCUUACAAUUUUUCUUCACAUU